rnacentral:rRNA from 1 species
UACAGAGGGUGCGAGCGUUGUCCGGAAUCACUGGGCGUAAAGGGCGCGUAGGUGGCGCCGCAAGUCCAUGGUGAAAGCUCGAUGCUCAACAUCGAGUCGGCCACGGAGACUGCGGGGCUCGAGCACUGUAGGGGCAGAUGGGAAUUCCGGGUGUAGCGGUGGAAUGCGUAGAGAUCCGGAAGAACACCGGUGGCGAAGGCGGUCUGCUGGGCAGUUGCUGACACUGAGGCGCGGAC